UACGGGGGGGGCAAGCGUUGUUCGGAAUUACUGGGCGUAAAGGGCUCGUAGGCGGCCAACUAAGUCGGAUGUGAAAUCCCCAGGCUUAACCUGGGAACUGCAUCCGAUACUGAAUGGCUUGAAUUCGGGAGAGGGAUGCAGAAUUCCAGGUGUAGCGGUGAAAUGCGUAGAUAUCUGGAGGAAUACCGGUGGCGAAGGCGGCAUCCUGGACCGACAUUGACGCUGAUGAGCGAAAGCUAGGGGAGCAAACGGG
rnacentral:rRNA from 1 species